AAUAUAUGCAGUGUAUUAUUUGUUGAAAAAAAAAACCAGAGAAGAUUAGCAUGGCCCCUGCGCAAGGAUGACACACAAAUUCGUGAAGCGUUCCAUAUUUUU
ensembl:snRNA U6 U6 spliceosomal RNA